rnacentral:rRNA from 1 species
GACGAACGCUGGCGGCGUGCUUAAUACAUGCAAGUCGAACGGACAGGCUCUGCCUUUGCGUGGUACACGAGUGGCGAAGGGGUGCGUAACACGGGGGUAACCUGCGCUUGACUGUGGGAUAACUUGAGGAAACUGGGGGUAAUACUGGCUAGGAGCUCAUGCUGCUUGGUGGGGGUUGGUAAGUAUCGGAGGUUGGGGAUGGACUCGCGGCCUAUCGGACUGUGGGUGGGGUAGCGGGUAACCAAGGCUGCGACGGGUAGCCGGCCUGAGAGGGUGACCGGCCACGUUGGCAAUGGGAGGCGGCCGAAGCGCCUACGGGAGGAAGGAGGGGAGACUAAUGCACAAUGGGCGGAAGCGUGAUGCAGCAACGCCGCUUGCGGGAUGACGGCCUUCGGGUUGAAAACCGCUUUCGCCUGUAACGAAGCGCGGGUGAGGUUAAUGAGCAAAGAAGCACCGGCUAAUUACGU